rnacentral:rRNA from 1 species
ACUAACAAGGAUUCCCCUAGUAACUGCGAGUGAAGCGGGAAAAGCUCAAAUUUAAAAUCUGAGGGUCUUUAUGGCCUUCCGAGUUGUAAUCUAGAGAAGUGCUAUCCGCGCUGGACCGUGUACAAGUCUCCUGGAACGGAGCGUCAUAGAGGGUGAGAAUCCCGUCUUUGACACGGACUCCCAGGGCUUAUGUGAUGUGCUCUCAAAGAGUCGAGUUGUUUGGGAAUGCAGCUCUAAAUGGGUGGUAAAUUCCAUCUAAAGCUAAAUAUUGGCGAGAGACCGAUAGCGAACAAGUACCGUGAGGGAAAGAUGAAAAGAACUUUGGAAAGAGAGUUAAACAGUACGUGAAAUUGUUGAAAGGGAAACGCUUGAAGUCAGUCGCAUUGGCCAGGGAUCAACCUUGCUUUUGCUUGGUGUAUUUUCUGGUUAAUGGGUCAGCAUCAAUUUUGAUCGGUGGAAAAAGGUCAAGGGAAUGUGGCAUCUUCGGAUGUGUUAUAGCCCUUGGUUGCAUACAUCGGUUGGGAUUGAGGAACUCAGCACGCCGCAAGGCCGGGUUUUUAACCACGUACGUGCUUAGGAUGCUGGCAUAAUGGCUUUAAUCGACCCGUCUUGAAACACGGACCAAGGAGUCUAACAUGCACGCGAGUGUUUGGGUGGAAAACCCGAGCGCGUAAUGAAAGUGAAAAUUGAGAUCCCUGUCGUAGGGAGCAUCGAUGCCCGGACCAGACCUUUUGUGACGGAUCCGCGGUUGAGCGUGUAUGCUGGGACCCGAAAGAUGGUGAACUAUGCCUGAAUAGGGUGAAGCCAGAGGAAACUCUGGUGGAGGCUCGUAGCGAUUCUGACGUGCAAAUCGAUCGUCAAAUUUGGGUAUAGGGGCGAAAG